AUUGAACGCUGGCGGCAGGCCUAACACAUGCAAGUCGAGCGGGGCGGCAGACGGGCGAGUACUGCCUAGGAAUCUGCCUGGUAGUGGGAGACAAAGUCAUGCAAAGGGCGAUAACACCACAUACGCUCAGACUAGUCUAGGUGGGAUUAGCUAGUUGGUGGGUGAAAGGCCUACCAAGGCGACGAUCCGUACCUGGCCUGAGAGGAUGAUCAGUCACACUGGAACUGAGACACGGUCCAGACUCCUACGGGAGGCAGCAGUGGGGAAUAUUGGACAAUGGGCGAAAGCCUGAUCCAGCCAUGCCGCGUGUGUGAAGAAGGUCUUCGGAUUGUAAAGCACUUUAAGUUGGGAGGCGUUACCAACAGAAUAAGCACCGGCUAACUUCGUGUCAGCCGCCGCGGUAAUUC
rnacentral:rRNA from 1 species